CGUGUUAAUAAAAUAUUUAAACAAAGUUUGAUGUGAGAAUGGACAUACCAUAACCCGCCCCAGGAUCCGGAGUUGACUACCCACAGGUGGAUCGCCAUUUCCACAUCUAACAGCAAAAAAGAUAUAUGCAAAAUUCUGUCCAAAUUCAAAGAAACAAUGUGUAUUGACAAAAGGGUCUCCAUCUUUAUUGCCUACAUAGCCCUUUUCAGCUUCGUUUCAAAGGGUAUAUUUGCAUUUGAACCAGAAUUCGGGUCGACCCGUGUUGUUUUUCAGACAAAUUAUGGAGAUAUUGAAUUUGGUUUCUACCCUAGUGUUGCGCCAAAGACAGUUGAGCACAUCUUCAAACUAGUGCGCUUGGGAGGCUACAAUACCAAUCACAUCUUUCGGGUAGAUAAGGGUUUUGUUGCCCAAGUGGCUGAUGUUGCUAGUGGGAGGAGUGCACCUAUGAAUGAAGAACAAAAGGCGGAAGCUGGGAAAACAGUUGUUGGUGAAUUUAGUGAAGUGAAACAUGUGAGAGGAAUCCUUUCAAUGGGAAGGUAUGAAGAUCCCGAUAGUGGUGGCUCAUCAUUUUCAAUGCUCCUUGGAGAUGCACCCCACCUCGAUGGUAAGUAUGCAAUAUUUGGAAAAGUUACCAAAGGAGAUGAAACACUGAGAAAGCUUGAGCAAUUACCUACUAGACGUGAAGGGAUCUUUGUAAUGCCAACUGAGCGCAUCACAAUUCAUUCAACAUAUUAUUAUGACACCAACAUGGAAAUUUGUGAAGAAGAGAGGUCGUUGUUAAAAAGAAGACUCUCUGCAGCUGCUGUUGAAAUAGAAAGACAGAGGAUGAAAUGCUUUCCUUGAUCAGGUGGGAAAAGAUAAAGAGUUCCAGUGACACUCUUUUGCUCCGCGUGAAUGGUUCACUACGAUACUGAAAGAGUAUGGUUUCAAGCAACCGGUAAUGGAGAAUACGUUGUGUUUACUAUUAGUAUAUCUUGAUGAUAUUGGUUAAGGAGGAAACACCACAAAAGCUUGUGACGGCUUCAAAAGAUUACUCGACCAUCCCUUUCGCAUUAAAGUAAUUUUUAAUGCGAAAGUGAUUAUUAUUUUCUUUAUAUAUACACUAUUAUUUUCCAGCAAAGGGUGAUCAAAUGAACCUCUUGCACCCUAGCUUCACCUCUGCAUGUGCAUUGUGGAUUAAUUCAGGACUUAGAGGAACAUAGUAUAUGCAACUAGCUAAAAGAUCAUGUUGAAUUAUUGUAGUAUUGAUAUUGGAAGUAUCAGAAUCUUAGCCUUGUGGAUAGGUAGCAUAUAAUAAGGUA